rnacentral:rRNA from 1 species
GGGUUGUGAGGUUAAGCGACUAAGCGUACACGGUGGAUGCCCUGGCAGUCAGAGGCGAUGAAGGACGUGCUAAUCUGCGAUAAGCGUCGGUAAGGUGAUAUGAACCGUUAUAACCGGCGAUUUCCGAAUGGGGAAACCCAGUGUGUUUCGACACACUAUCAUUAACUGAAUCCAUAGGUUAAUGAGGCGAACCGGGGGAACUGAAACAUCUAAGUACCCCGAGGAAAAGAAAUCAACCGAGAUUCCCCCAGUAGCGGCGAGCGAACGGGGAGCAGCCCAGAGCCUGAAUCAGUGUGUGUGUUAGUGGAAGCGUCUGGAAAGGCGCGCGAUACAGGGUGACAGCCCCGUACACAAAAAUGCACAUGCUGUGAGCUCGAUGAGUAGGGCGGGGCACGGGGGAUC